CUCAUACGACGGCUGACUUUCAGGAGGGCAACGCUGGCCCAGCCCGCAGGCUGGCGUGGCGGCACAGCGUGGCUCUUCAGCAGACCCCGGAAGUCACAGCCUCACAGUCAUCUAGCUGAGAGAAGAGGAAGACAAGUUGAUCCAGAACCGGCUGGAGGCAGGAGGGAGAGCAGACCCUGCCGCCCCAGGGAGCCAGGAGCACCCGAGCCACUCCCGGGCAGUGAUGCCCGGAGCAGUGUGAAGCCUGUCUGGGGCUCCCUGAACCUGACCCUGGCCCCACAGUCAGCACGAGGACACACGUGGCCGUACGUGUGGUCUAGGGUUCGAGCCAUGAAUGCUGAUGGGCCCAGGCCCUGCGGCUGCGUCCUCCAUUGGGCUGAGCUGUGUGGUCAAGCGCUGUGGCAGGGGUCCACUCAUGGGGGGACAGCGAGGAGGCCCGUGCAGCUGGGGGUCCGUGUCGUGGACCAGGCGUGAGCGCAGUGAGGCAGGACCAUCACAGCUUUCCUCUGCGGUUCUGCACAUGCUGGGAUCCGAAUGUGCACGAGGCUUCUGAGAGGCAGCGCAUCACCUCCAUGAGAAAGGC
rnacentral:lncRNA from 1 species